AUAAUCCACACAAUCUUUCAAAUAAGGAUCCUUUCCACAAAAUCAGGAAGAGAUAUUCUCACCUUCCACCUCUCAAUUCCAGCUCACCAUAAUCACUCACAAUUUCUCUCCAUCACACGCUUGAUUAACCAAAAUCAGAAAAUAUCUAAAGUCACACGAUUUCCAUCAUACCUUCACAUGCUUGAUCCUUUUCUUACACACGUAUUUCACCAAUCCAAACCCCCACUAAUUCCCCUAUAAAACAGUGCCUCUCCUUCACUCAUUUUGAUGAACAAAAAAACACUAAAACUCUGCAGAAUUCAAAACUGACCCCUCACUCAAAGCUCAUACUCUAAGAAAGGCUCUCUAAACUUCAUAUUGAAGUUUGAUUAGGGCUGAGCUAAGACCCCUCAUUUCAUAAAAAAAGUCAAUAUUUAAACACAUAACAUUCAGAAGAGAGUAGAAGAAGGAGUCAAGGCGAGCAGGAAAUAAAGAAGAACGAGGAUAUAAAGAAUUUACGUACCUGAGGUAUUUCUUGCACCAGAGUUUCUCGCCGGAUUUUAAGUCUUCGACAAGGGAACAAUAGGAGCCAACACUCCAGUUAAAAUGGGUCUUAGACCAGUACUUUGGAUAUGAAGCCUGACAGUACUAAGGAGAAUCAUUGGUAAUAUAGCAAAAAGCAGAAUAAGUUACGGAGGUGAGGUGUUUCACCAAGAGAAAGCGUCUCAAGAAAUCAUCCUCGUCCAGAGUAAAUGAGCCAAACCAAGGGAGUACCGAGUGAAGCUGAAGAAGCCCCUAAUUGAAAAAGGUAUAUGGGGAUGUGCACCUCAAAUGGAAAAGAUAAAAAAUAAAAAAAGUUAAGAGAGGGCUUCCAAGAUUUGUAUUUGGUACACAGUUGCAAAACCCCUAUAGAUUCUCAGGACCCUAGAUGAACCUGUGAAGAAAUGGAGGUUGUGGUAUUCCAAACAUGUAGAUGUGAUGCUUUACAAGAUCAUCCCACAACUUGAUUUUCAGCUUGAACAGCAUGAAGGGAAGAUGUAUAAAAUUUUGAGGUGGAGGUACUGAUUACUAAAUUCAAUAGUUCAAUGUUAUAGCUCUCGCUCUUCUAUAUUUUGGAUUUUGCACUUCUUUGUCUUUCCUAGUUUAAGAAUUGACUGGAUUAUAUAUGUUAAUCUGGUUGAACCUAGUGAUAAGCCUAAUAACUACUUUGUAUAUAUACAAAAAUUUGCACCUAGUAAAAAAAUUUAGUUGCAGUUUUGAUGUGGAUUAGUUUUCAUAUUUGUCAUAGCAUAGGACGGAAAAUUAUCAAGCAAAAUAUUUUCUAACUAAUCUGCAAAUAAUAAUAAAACGCAAAAAAAUAUUGUUCAAAACUUUUAUGUUUCCUAACUAUAUGGCUUCAGAUGUUGCUGCAACAAUUUCACAGUAAAACUACAAGAUGCACUAAUAUUUCUACACUAACCAAUGGCACAUUGCUUUAAAAAUUCAGAGGCAGUACCUGCAGUUCUUCCCUUUAAGUAGCCUACAAAUAAAAUAAAAUAAAUUGUACUUAGCAGUCAUUAUAAAAUGAAAUUGAGCAAAAAUAUUCGAUGGACUUUGUAGAAAGGUCAAAAACCAUAAUGCAAAAUCUUUUCAUCAUAGCAUUUUCAUUGUUUCAACUUUUCGCAUCUGGCGACGAUCUAGUUACAUUGUUGGCAUAACAUGAAACUCUAGACUUGAAAAAUAAUGUGCAGGAAUAGUUUCACUAUGGGCUUGGUCAUGUUUACCAUUAUGGCUUGUGUUCUAAUUUACCAUUCAGAAUUUGCACUUGAAACUCUCACAUUGGCUUCCUCUUCCGCCUUCAUGAGCUUGUGUUGGUAAGCUGAUAGUACUCCUCAACCAAAAGUAUCACAUCAUUCAAUGAAUCCACCUCGUUGCUAUUGUUGCUUCUAGCCGAUUUGCUCUCUUGCAUUGCUUUAAUGGCUGUAUUACUAACCUUUCAGAAGCCACUUAGCUGCUCUCAAAAUACAAAAGUAGUAAAUUAAAAACAGUAGUUUCCUCAUUUCUAAUAGAACUCACAUUUUCUAAUACUUCCAAUCUCUCUAAAAUUUAUAGCAAAUGAAACAAGUAUCUAUCUAUAUGUCAAUCAUCCCAGAGUUUGAUUAUCCAGUAAAAUAUAUCCUCACACAAAGGACAUAAUACAAAUGAAACAAGCAUCUCAUUAUAAAUCAUUAUAAUAUAAAUGACAAAUAAACUUACCUACAGAUGACAAGAGCAAAUCGUUCUAAAACUAGAUACACAUAAAUUACAUUUUGCUUGCGGUUCAAUUAAACUAGAGGCUGUUUUACUUAUACACAUAUGAAUUAAAAGCAUUAUUGAAUACUUAUACACAUAUGAAUUAAAAGCAUUAUUGAAUAAAGCUUUUAACUCAUACACAUAUGAAUUGAAGGCAGUUAUUCAAUAAAGCUUUUAGUUGUAGCUUUUAAAUGUAGUUGAAUUUUACCUGAUCCAUUCAAUAAAAUUAUAAUUGAUUUUUGUAUUUAAGCUUUAGAGAAAUGUCAGUUUAAGGAUAUAAUCCGCAUCUACCAAGUCUCUUGGACUCUAGGAAGCCCUGAUACUCCAAAAUAGUCAAGUAUCGGUGUCUGACGCAUAUCCGACGCCAAUGUAUGGCUUGAUACGUACCACAAGCUUACUCUUAUUGUAAAUAUUUAGCAACAAUCUAAUCUAUUGCCCGCAACUUACUCUUUCAACUAUAAGAAAACAAUAUAAAUAUAAUCAUUGACGCUACACCUUCUCCCGUCUAUUUUUCAGUAUGUGAUAAUGCAACCAACAAAAAUAAGCUAUGAAAGUCUAAUUCUGAUAAAGUAACGUUUUUAUUUUAUUCUGCAGAAAUAAAAUUUAUAGGAAGAGGUGCAGAAAAAUAAAGUGCUAGAGUGCAUUCAGCUGAUAAGCACCAAAAACUAAGCUAUAUUGAUUCUAUUUCUAGCACACAUUUUCAGAACUGUUAAAACAAAACAAUUUGAAUCAUUAUAACAGAGUCUGUGAAAUUAGUGGUCUCAACUUUGUGCCUUAAUACUACUUAAGAUUACAUGCACAAUAGAAAAUUUUGUGUUUUUCCAGCAGAUUCAUUCUAUUGGAAAACAUACUACUCUCAUAAAUAACUAUGUGCAAUCACAUAUGAACAGAAAGGAACAUAAAGAGCAGCCAUCCAAAAGGCAUAACUCGAGCUU